AAAAAAAAAAAAGAAAAGAAAUGUCCAAAAUUUGAUAAAUAUUCAGUGGCCUCAGUGAAUGUGAGGCUGAAGUUAACAGAAAUGCUGGGGACAAGCUGCUACAGAGACUCCAAUUUGUGUCCUCAAGCUCAAGGUGUCCAGAGAAGGAUUUGUGCAGGGGGACUCCACCUUAGGUCUGGACUGGUUGGAUGCCAUUAUCAUCCCAGGCUGGGUGCGGAGUAACAGGGUGCUUUCCCGUGACUUGCUGCUCCAUCUUGUGAGCCAAGCAAGAAGUCAGGUCCCAACAGAGCUCUUGGAUCCUGGAGAAGCCUGAUGACAGAGGUCAUUCCAAAGCCACCGAUGGAGAAGUCACUUCAGGAAGAGGAAGGAGCAGUAAUAGUCCUCACCUGUAAAUGAAGUGAGGCAAGGCCUGGAAAGUGCUUCACAACAAGAGAAAAAUUGAGGCCAGGAAUGAGGAGUGCCCAAAAGAGCACUUGGAAAAGCAAGUGCCUGCGGUUAAUAAGAAGCAAUUGAACUGCAACAUUAAAGUAGAGAAAUGCAUGAAAUGAGUUUGGGCUGCAUGGUUUAAGAAGCACUUAUGUUUUCUGGUAUUGCUAAUGCGGAAACAAAGAAAUGACAAGGAUUGUGUGGAGGUAAGAGAUUGUGGGAUGAAAAAUGAUUUUGUCAACACAUAAGCCCGGAUGGAACUGCCUAAUCCUUCUGCCUGCACAGAAGCAUAAUCUGGUGUACUAGUACUACACCACAAUUUUUAUUUUUAAAGAUCUUCUCAACAAACUACCUAAGGAAUUUGUUUUGGUGUUAUCCUGUCCUUUUAACUAGAAUAACAACUAUUUCAUGUCCAACCAGCAAAAAUACCCUCUGUAAGAAACAUUGGAGUGUAGUGUCACUAUGGAGUAAAAUUCAUCUGUGGUCUUCGGAAUUUAUGUAUUCAGUCAUUAAAAGCGUGUCUCCUCAGAAGAGUAGGUGGGUGCUUUAUAAACUCAAAUAGUUGAGUAAUAAAUAUUAAUAUGACAUGUUAGGAACUCUUGAAUUUACUCAGAAAUACAUGCUAUACAAUGAUGGGGAUAUAAAUGCAUUUUAGUGUUUUUAGUCAACGUCAGCCUUUAGAUGCACAGCUCACAGCUUUUACUCUUGAUCAGUAGGACUGAGCAGAGGUGGAAGCCCAAAAAAAAGCAAAGAACAUGGCACCCCUAAAAGACUAAUUUCUGUUCAUGUCCUUUGCACAAACGUCAUUUCUGGGCUGAGACAUUCCAUUUAUUCUCUUUAUUCUUUGAAAACUCAAUACUACACUAAAUAUUUAGUAAAUUCACUUUUUUCUCAUCGGGAACAGCUGUAUUUCUGUUGAACAUAUUUGAAGCACUGAGUAUUUUUGUUCCUUAAUAAUACUUUUGUUUACAGUCUGUAAUGUCAUAAGUAAAAGAUCACUUCUCACUUCUGCCUACUGCUGCUACAGGACUUAUUUUCUCUACUACAGCAGGAUAAUUAAAAAAAAUAAAUUAGCGUUAGGAUUUUCUUGACAGUGAUAGCCCCUUAGCUGCUAAAUCUGCUAUCCCAUCCAUCACUAAUCUCAAGCAAAGCAAGCAUUAGUUUCUUUGUGACUUAUCUAGGUCUUUAGCAGAUCAAUAGCACAGCUCAGAUGUUUCAGACUCUUGCUUGUUAAUUCACAUUUAUCUUUUCAUCCAAAGAAGGUAAAUUACCUCACAGAGAAGCUGUGUGUUAUCCCCAAUAGCAGUUUAUAAUGUUGCAAAGUCAGCGUGACCCACAUAUCUUAUCUCAGCUGGAAUGCAUUUGUCACUGUCUCCUGUUAUGAUCAUCUGGUACAACGCCCUAGAAGAGAGGUAAACCUGCAAAACAGCUUCACCGCUUUUAUUUAAUGACCUUUUUUUGCCAUGUGUUCCUGCAUCACCUUCAAUUUAAACUGCUAAAGUAAAGGGGACUUUUUCCUUUAAUGCUCCAUUUCAUCAUUUUUAUCAUUAGCAAAAUUUUCAUUCCUCAGCAGCCUUCAUUUCUGCUGUCAUGAGAGAUCAGUAGGUGGUGACAGCGAGACUGGGAAUGGAAUCAUUUAUUAAUAGGUUAGUUCACCCUUAGAAGGGACUGCUGGGGUUAACUCUACGUUUGUACAGUUGGCUGCUGGUUACCUGAAGCCUCUCGGGCCCUGGGAGUCUUUAAUGCUCUUAGGAAAAAGGAAUAAGAAGCUGCAACCAGACUGCUGCAAGAAGAAAUGCUGUACAAAAUGAGUUUGACAGCAAUUAUGCAGCUGGGACUCAUUCCUUGCCGAACUAGAGUGAAGUAGGUAUUUCGGUAUCUGUUAUUCUAAAAACUUCAUAAAUUAUGGAAAGAAAACAUAAAUACAUUUGGCUUGUAAGGAGUCUGACCCAGCUGGUUGCAAAACGAGGACAUUUUUAUUCUGUUCCUUCAGAUAAGCUGAGCAACUUCUGCCUGGGCUGGACUCUGUUCUGCAAGUGUUACAUUCUUGGGUCUUUAGCUGAGAAACUAAUUGGUGCCAUAGAGGUCCGCUCUUUGAUGUGAAAAAAGGUAGGUCUGUGUUCAGCGCAGUGCCCGAUUACUUCCCAAAUCAGAUCGUACAAGGGAGGCCCAACUUGGAGCGCCCACUUUCUGUGGCCGCCCAGCUGGGAGGAAUAGCAACAGCAGAUGCUUGCCCCUCAGGUGGAGGUGGACCAUCCAACCGGGGUGACCUUAGCGGGGGGAACUGGAUGGCUAGGAGGGCACAAAGCGCUUGCCCAGGUGCAGGUGCGCUACCCGUGUGCCUGCAGCCCCAGCAGGUUUGCAGAUAACCCAAACAGGGGGUCAGUGCCCAGUGGGCACCCAGCAGCAGCCCCCAGUUGCUGUAGGGAGGCACCAAGAAGACCAAGCCAGACUCUUUGCUGAAAAGUACAGUGGGAGUCUGAGAAGUCAGUGGUCACCAGCUGGGAAAAAAAGGAGAGUUCUGGCUGGAUGUAAGGGGAAAAAAAAAAUAUUAGAUGACCAAGCUUUAGAACAGGAGCCUGUUCUAAAGUUUUCCUGGGGGAGCUUUCAAAUCGAGGCGAGACCAGCAGGUGUGUCUGAACUGGGGGAAAGGAUGGGUUUCCAUCUGUACGUACUCAUUUUCACGGAAGGAGCAGGGCAAGGGUGUAUUGGAUGUUUCUGAAGUGUUUUCCCCUCCCUGUUCUCUGCACGGGGUGACUGUACGUGCUGAAGUUAUUUAGCCUUUCUUCGGAAAUCUGCACACACCAUAUGUUUACUGAACUGUCCCUGUGGCUUAAUUUGUGUUCAGGAAAACAACCAGGGCAUUAAAGGUAAGAAUUUCUGAACACAAACUGCCAUAAGGUAUCGAGGAUAAAAGAAUUCUCUGGUUGUGUUUCUUUAUUCUUUGCAUUUUAAACACGCUGCAGCAAACCUGAACAGGAUGGGAAAUGAACAAUGAGGCACUGAGGACUGGAAGGCACAAGAUAUUUUUCCCUUUGGGAUCUUAGCAGAUAGUAGAGCUGUGUAUCCUGUCCCUUCUGUGAAAGGUACGCUGCUCACAAGUACUGUGUCCAUGCAAAUAUAAGCCACCUCUUGAUUUUAAAAAGAACUUCAUAAACAGACUUAUUGAUCUCCGAGAUAUGUGUGGGUUUUCAACCAUUUUUACUGCCACUUUUCUGUCUGAAUGCCUUGCUGUGCUGGAGGCUAAGUCAAGAUACACUUUUGUUCUCAUUUGAGAGUGUUGCUGUUCCAAAUUGAGGAUAUCGUGUGAGCAAAGAUCAAACGUUAAAUCUGAAGGUUGUUUGCUGUUAUUUCCAGAAGCAAGGUGAGGGAACCAGAUUUUGUUAUUUUGUUUGACAAGAGAGAAAUUUCCAUUUAUUUCCAGUGAGGUAUGUAGCUGUUCACCAAGGAGAAGGGACAGCAAAAGGAUCUUUUGCACCUUUUUUCCCCUGUGCCACCUCCAAGCCUUCAGCUCUGAAAGUUGGUGGACCUUCUUCCUGAGUCAAUGGAAUCCUUGGGGAAGAGGGGUUUUGGCAUUUGUUUCCUGGCGUGCUGUUGAAGAAACUGAUUAUUUAAUGUUUUUUAGAGAGCUGUAGUGGUAAUACCAUUUGGGAAGAAGCAGCAGAGAAAGUUUAGGGUCUUUUUCUGUCUCAUCUCCAUCCACUUGUAUCUUUUCUGUUAAUUGUCUCCUAGAUGUUUAGUUAUUUAGUUAGUUGUUUAUAUAUAUAUAUAUAUAAACAAUUUCUAUAUGGUUAUCUAGUCCCCUGAGGACUGGGGGAAAAUAUUUUUCUCCCAAAAAGGGCGACUAGCUAAAGCUUCAGAAAGAAUUCUGCUGAUCUGGGAGAUUUUGUAGAAGAUUUGAAACUGAUUUUAAAUAGUAUUUUUAUCCCGUAGCUAGGCUUCUACAGGCAUCUUGAGCACAGGUCAAUAGAAACGUGCAGACUUCAUACCCGAUUCUGAGAGGUGUUCUUCAGCUUGUCAAUUAAUUGUAUAAAGUAGGUAACGGGGGGAUUUUAAAUACAGCUUUAGAGAAGCUGAAAUGUCGGAAGUUUUUGAGUGACCCACGUAGGGGGGAAGCUGGAGGUG